rnacentral:rRNA from 1 species
GGACGCACCUCCGGUGCACCAGUUGUUCCGCCAGGGGCAUAGCUGGGUAGCCGCGUGCGGGAGUGAUAAACGCUGAAGGCAUCUAAGCGUGAAACAUGCUUCAAGAUUAGAUAUCCCACAACUUCAAGUUGGUAAGGUCACUUGCAGACUACAAGUUUGAUAGGUCAGAGGUGGAAGCGCAGUAAUGCGUGCAGCUGACUGAUACUAAUAGACCGAGGGCUUGAACCGUC